GACGGGGGGGGGCAAGUGUUCUUCGGAAUUAUUGGGCGUAAAGAGCUCGUAGGCGGUCUGUCGCGUCUGCUGUGAAAACUCGGGGCUUAACCCCGGGCCUGCAGUGGGUACGGGCAGACUAGAGUGCGGUAGGGGAGACUGGAAUUCCUGGUGUAGCGGUGAAAUGUGCAGAUAUCAGGAGGAACACCGGUGGCGAAGGCGGGUCUCUGGGCCGUAACUGACGCUGAGGAGCGAAAGCAUGGGGAGCGAACAGG
rnacentral:rRNA from 1 species